GCCAGGUGUAGUGGCGUGUGCCUGUAAUCCCAGCUACUUGGGAGGCUGAGGCAGUAGAAUUGCUUGAACCCAGGAAGCAGAGGUUGCAGUGAGCUGAGAUCACGCCACUGCACUCCAGCCUGGGCAACAAGGCAAGACUCUGUCUCGG
rnacentral:SRP_RNA from 1 species